UCCUUUGCAGACGACUUAAAUAC
rnacentral:snRNA from 1 species